rnacentral:lncRNA from 1 species
GACAGAGCAAGACUCUGUCUCAAAACAAAAAAAGAGUGGAUGGAUGGAUGGAUGAACUCACCUGCUGGUUGUCUCUGCUGAGCUAACUUCACACAUAUGCCAGCCUCGUUUCUAGAACAUUCCAUAGGCUAUGAGGUACCUGUUGGAAAUAAAUGCAGAUGUAGGUGGUCACCCUCACAGCACAUUGGGGCCACAGCUUGGAAGUCCCCUGGCCACUGUGUCACCUCGGACCUAGGAUGCCUUUCCAUUGAGACAUUCAGAUGGCCUUAGUGCCACAGAGGGACGAGGUCCGUGGACAUUCUGGUCUCCAGCUUUCCAGGAAACGGGAGGCUCCUGGCAGCGCCCUGGCUGCCAAGACAAGGCUCCUCCAAGCCUGGCUGACUCAGCAUAUUCUCCAGGCUUCUGCUGAGACACCCCUUCCCGGUGAUGGCCCCUCUGGAGUCCCUGUCAUGGGAACUUGUGUGUGGGAUGCUUCCUUCUCUUUCACGGCAUUGUCUGUGCGGGUUCUGCCUGAGCACAUGAAGUGCGUUCACUGUGCCCAGCAUGGUGCCUGGUACACACAGGGCUCAACGCGCUCCAUUUGAAGGCUGUCUGGAGCCCCCUACACUGGGCCCAGGUGGAUCUUAUCAAUUCACUCAACAAAUAUUUGCUGAACUCCCAUCUGGGCUGGCUCUGCCUGUGAGGCUAGGAACGUCAAAAGGAACCCAGGCAGCCAACCCUCCAGGACCUUGGGGUGGUGUGAAGGCCCCAGAUUUCUGAAAGUGGAACAAAGCCAGACCCUGUGGCCGCCACCUUCUGGCCAACCUCAGAUGGAGCCUUCCAGACACAUCAACUCCCAGGGCUGUGGAAAGAAAAGAUGGAGUCUCUACCUGGCCGGUGCCAUGACACCUGCACACGUGGCAACAAAGAAAAGGGAAGAGAAAGACUCCAUGUUGACUCUACCUGGCUCCCAGACGGAGUUCCGCUCUUUUUGCCCAGGC